AACGAACGCUGGCGGCGUGCUUAACACAUGCAAGUCGAACGGAACGGCCCUGCUUUUUUGGGCUGCUCUAGUUGCGAACGGGUGAGUAACCCUUGAGUACCCUGCCCUUCACUUUGGGAUAACUUCAGGCAACUUGGUCUCAUCCCGGCUAGGAGCUCCUGCUUCAUGGUGGGCGUUGGAUAGUUUCGGCGGUUGGGGAUGUACUCGCGGCUUAUCAGCUUGUUGGUGGGGUAGUGGCUUACCAAGGCUUUGACGGGUAGCCGGACUGAGAGGGUGACCGGCCACAGUGGGACUGAGAUACGGCCAAGACUCCUACGGGAGGCAGCAGUGGGGAAUAGUGAACAAGGGGCGGAAGCCUGAUGCAGCAACGCCGCGUGCGGGAUGACGGCCUUCGGGUUGUAAACCGAUUUCGCCUGUGACGAAGCGUGAGUGAAGGUAAUGGGUAAAGAAGCACCGGCUAACUACGUG
rnacentral:rRNA from 1 species